CUCGGAUGACCUGUGGUUAGGAGUGAAAGGCUAAUCAAACCCCGUAAUAGCUGGUUCUCUCCGAAAUAGCUUUAGGGCUAGCGUCGGGUAAGUACGCCGAGGAGGUAGAGCACUGAUAGGCUUAGGGUCCCUAACCGGAUACCAAAACCUGUUAAACUCCGAAUGCCUCGGAUCCCAUUACCCCGGCAGUCAGUCGAUGAGUGAUAAGAUCCAUCGUCGAGAGGGAAACAACCCAGAUCAGCGGCUAAGGUGCCAAAAUACCGUUCAGUGGUAAGGAAGUGAAGUGACAUAGACAGUGAGGAUGUUGGCUUAGAAGCAGCCACCAUUUAAACAGUGCGUAACAGCUGACUCAUCGAGUUAUUUCGCGCCGAAAAUGAUUGGCGAUAAACGGUAUACCGACGCCCUGGGUGUCUUCGGACACGGUAGGAGAGCGUAGUCUUUGCGUCGAAGCUGUUCUGUAAAGAGCGGUGGAGCGGAGACUAGCGAGAAUGCAGACAUGAGUAGCGAUAAACAAAGUGAGAAUCUUUGUCUCCGUAAACCUAAGGUUUCCUGGGCCAGGCUCGUCCUCCCAGGGUUAGCCGGGACCUAAGGCGAGGCCGAAAGGCGUAGUCGAUGGAUAACAGGUUAAUAUUCCUGUGCUAAAGCGCAAAAUGGGACGCAUGACAGUAAGGUGACACACACUAUGAUAUGUGAGUUUAGGCUUCGGCCGAAACACGUCACCCUAAGUUGUGCCGAGAAAACCGCGCAGGCCCGUACCGUAAACCGACACAGGUAGGUGAGUCGAAUAGACUAAGGAGCGCGAGAGAAAUCUCUCCAAGGAACUCGGCAAAUUAGCCCCGUAACUUCGGAAGAAGGGGUGCCCAUUUCGGUGGGCCACAGUAAAUUGGGACUGGCGACUGUUUACCAAAAACACAGCUCUCUGCAAAGUCGUGAAGACGACGUAUAGGGAGUGACACGUGACCAAUGCGAAAAGAUUAAGGUGACUUGUUAGCCCUUGAGGCGAAGCUCGGAGCCCAAGUCCCCGUGAAUGUCGGCCGUAACUAUAACGGUCCUAAGGUAGCGAAAUUCCUUGUCGGGUAAGUUCCGACCUGCACGAAUCGUGCAACGACCGGUCCGCUGUCUCGGAGAGAAUCUCGGCGAAGUUGUAAUUGCGGUGAAGAUGCCGCAUACCCGCAGUAGGACGGAAAGACCCUGUACACCUUUACUAUAAGCAAGUAUUGGCUUUUGAUUAGUGAUGCGUAGCGUAGGUGGGAGACUUUGAAGUGAUGGCUUAGGUUGUCAUGGAGUCGAAAUGUGAAACACCACUCUUUACUACUUAGAAUUCUAACAAUGAUUUCUCUGAAGCGAGACAUUGAACAGUGCUUGCGGGUUAGUUUGACUGGGGCGGUUUCCUCCCAAAAAGUAACGGAGGAGCACUAAGGUACCUUCAGCAUGGUUAGCAACCAUGCGUAGAGCGUAUGCGUAGAAGGGUGCUUGACUGUGAGACCUACAAGUCGAGCAGGUACGAAAGUAGGUGCAAAUGAUCCGGUGGUAUGAAUGUGGAAUUGCCAUCGCUCAACGGACAAAAGGUACGUCAGGGAUAACAGGCUGAUCGCGCCCAAGAGUUCAUAUCGACGGCGC
rnacentral:rRNA from 1 species